rnacentral:rRNA from 1 species
UACGAAGGGGGCUAGCGUUGUUCGGAAUCACUGGGCGUAAAGGGCGCGUAGGCGGCUUUAUAAGUCGGGGGUGAAAGCCUGUGGCUCAACCACAGAAUUGCCUUCGAUACUGUAGAGCUUGAGACCGGAAGAGGUAAGUGGAACUGCGAGUGUAGAGGUGAAAUUCGUAGAUAUUCGCAAGAACACCAGUGGCGAAGGCGGCUACUGGCGUCGUAGUGACGCUGAGGCUGCGAAAGCGUGGGGAGCAAACAGG